AGAGUUUGAUCAUGGCUCAGGAUGAACGCUGGCGGCGUGCCUAAUACAUGCAAGUCGAACGAGGUGCUUUUGUAGCAAUACGAGAGUAUCCUAGUGGCGAACGGGUGAGUAACGCGUUGGUGACCUACCCCAAAGUGUGGGAUAACAGUCCGAAAGGACUGCUAAUACCGCAUGUGGUCGUUGGAUUUAGAAACUGAUGACUAAAGGAGCAAUUCGCUUUGGGAGGGACCUGCGUCCCAUCAGCUAGUUGGUGAGGUAACGGCUCACCAAGGCGACGACGGGUAGGGGACCUGAGAGGGUGGCCCCCCACAAUGGAACUGAAACACGGUCCAUACACCUACGGGUGGCAGCAGUAGGGAAUAUUGCACAAUGGGCGAAAGCCUGAUGCAGCAACGCCGCGUGUGUGAUGAGGGCCUUCGGGUCGUAAAGCACUUUUCUGGGAGAUGAGAAAGGACAGUAUCCCAGGAAUAAGUCUCGGCUAACUACGUGCCAGCAGCCGCGGUAAUAC
rnacentral:rRNA from 1 species